GACGAACGCUGGCGGCGUGCUUAACACAUGCAAGUCGAACGGAAAGGCCCUGCUUUUGUGGGGUGCUCGAGUGGCGAACGGGUGAGUAACACGUGAGUAACCUGCCCUUGACUUUGGGAUAACUUCAGGAAACUGGGGCUAAUACCGGAUAGGAGCUCCUGCUGCAUGGUGGGGGUUGGAAAGUUUCGGCGGUUGGGGAUGGACUCGCGGCUUAUCAGCUUGUUGGUGGGGUAGUGGCUUACCAAGGCUUUGACGGGUAGCCGGCCUGAGAGGGUGACCGGCCACAUUGGGACUGAGAUACGGCCCAGACUCCUACGGGAGGCAGCAGUGGGGAAUAUUGCACAAUGGGCGGAAGCCUGAUGCAGCAACGCCGCGUGCGGGAUGACGGCCUUCGGGUUGUAAACCGCUUUCGCCUGUGACGAAGCGUGAGUGACGGUAAUGGGUAAAGAAGCACCGGCUAACUACGUGCCAGCAGCCGCGGUGAUACGUAGGGUGCGAGCGUUGCCCGGAUUUAUUGGGCGUAAAGGGCUCGUAGGUGGUUGAUCGCGUCGGAAGUGUAAUCUUGGGGCUUAACCCUGAGCGUGCUUUCGAUACGGGUUGACUUGAGGAAGGUAGGGGAGAAUGGAAUUCCUGGUGGAGCGGUGGAAUGCGCAGAUAUCAGGAGGAACACCAGUGGCGAAGGCGGUUCUCUGGGCCUUUCCUGACGCUGAGGAGCGAAAGCGUGGGGAGCGAACAGGCUUAGAUACCCUGGUAGUCCACGCUGUAAACGGUGGGUACUAGGUGUGGGGUCCAUUCCACGGGUUCCGUGCCGUAGCUAACGCUUUAAGUACCCCGCCUGGGGAGUACGGCCGCAAGGCUAAAACUCAAAGGAAUUGACGGGGCCCCGCACAAGCGGCGGAGCAUGCGGAUUAAUUCGAUGCAACGCGUAGAACCUUACCUGGGUUUGACAUGGAUCGGGAGUGCUCAGAGAUGGGUGUGCCUCUUUUGGGGUCGGUUCACAGGUGGUGCAAGGCUGUCGUCAGCUCGUGUCGUGAGAUGUUGGGUUAAGUCCCGCAACGAGCGCAACCCUUGUUCACUGUUGCCAGCACGUUAUGGUGGGGACUCAGUGGAGACCGCCGGGGUCAACUCGGAGGAAGGUGGGGAUGACGUCAAGUCAUCAUGCCCCUUAUGUCCAGGGCUUCACGCAUGCUACAAUGGCUGGUACAGAGAGUGGCGAGCCUGUGAGGGUGAGCGAAUCUCGGAAAGCCGGUCUCAGUUCGGAUUGGGGUCUGCAACUCGACCUCAUGAAGUCGGAGUCGCUAGCAAUCGCAGAUCAGCAACGCUGCGGUGAAUACGUUCCCGGG
rnacentral:rRNA from 1 species